GACAGGCAUAUAUUAGCAUAAAGACUCGUCUUUAGCGCUAAUUGUUAAAUAUGCUAGUCCUUUCAUGAUUAUGUGAUAGGUGGUGCAUGGCCGUUCUUAGUUCGUGGAGUGAUCUGUCUGCUUAAUUGCGUUUCACUAAGGGCCCAUAAAUUCAAGGUAUGUUAGCAAAUGCUGCUCUAUUGACCCCUAAUAGGCUUAACUGUCUUUAGCGCGUGUCUCUACGAGUUCUUUAAAGCACUGCGCAUGCUGUUGGGUCCUGAAAGCAACGAACGUGACCGCAACGUCUUGUUGCCUCUCUAUAAUACCUUCUUAUUUUUAAUAAGAGUAUUUACCUGAGGCUAUUUUAAAACUAGACGGACCGCUGUUUCUUUCUUAAACCAGAGGAAGGUUGCGGCAAUAACAGGUCUGUGAUGCCCUUAGAUGUUCCG
rnacentral:rRNA from 1 species